GUUGUUGUUGUUGUUGUUGUUGUGUUUAUAUAUAAUCAAUAUUGUACUCUAUAAAAUAUUUUAAAGGUAUCUUUGCCAAGUCUUCACAUGGCUCUUGGAAUUUAUUUAAAUUUUUUCAAUUACUUUGAAAAUGAAGUUCAUGAAUUAUAUAUUUUAAUGGCAGCAGAAGCAUUAAAAAUGAAAAAUAACUAUGCUUCUAGUUGCUCAGACAAAUAUAAAGUAUUUAUAGGAGAAAAGAAGGAGUUAUUAAGUCUUAAAUAUGAGAUUAUCUGCCUUGAUGAAAAACUUGAAUGGUUCAAUGAUAUGGCUUUGCUUGCUGCAACACAGAGUUCUGAUGAGAUGGAUAUUCAAUCUCUUUACAAUUCUGAUAUUGAUUUUAUCAAUUGCAAAAAAGAAGAAAAGGUUUUGAAAUUUACCCUUUAUUUCUAAUCUCUAAUUUUCAUUUAUGGAUCUUGUUUCAAAAAUAUACAGUAAAAAAACCCUCUCACUUGUUUGUUUCAAAUUCAAAAUAAUCUGAACAAGAUUUAUGCAGAUAAGUUAUAUAUUUUUAUUUAUUACUUUUUGACACAUACGUAAUCUGUAAAUUGUCAUUACACAAGAAAUCAAAAUUUAUGCUAAAUGUAUCAAUAAUAUCAAAAAGUGACUAUAUCCCAGUAUUAUCUAAUAUCUAAUAAUGCAUAAAAUUUUUACUUUUUUUUUAAAUAACAAAUAUUCAUUAAAUACAUAUUGUAAAUAUUUUUAUAGGUUAGUCAAUUUAACACUUUAUGUAAAAGCACUCAUUAAAAAAAAGACAGGGGCCAUGCACAAGAAAAAUAGAGACAGUUCUUCAAAGUUAAAAGUGCAACGAAGUCCUCAUUACUUGAGUUGUGUAAUGCUAUUCCAAAGCUUGUUUAUGAAGAAGGAUUAUCUAAAACAGAUGUGCAUAAAAAAGCAAUUGAAACUUGUACAAAAUAUAAAAAACUGUUUGAUAAAUUUGCUCAAUGCUACUUCAUUUUUUCAUCCAAAAAUAUGACAAUAGAAAAUAUGACAACAGAAAAAUUGAAUCUUUUACGUAAGAGUUCAGUAUAAAAAGUUUUUUCUUCUUAAAAAAAACUUCUUAUAAUUGCAUUAACAAACCUUGUAAAUAGGCUAGUAAAAUAAUAAUUAUUUUUUAGAAAAGAAUAUUGAAGAC